rnacentral:rRNA from 1 species
ACACAUGCAAGUCGAGGGGCAGCAUCAUCAAAGCUUGCUUUGAUGGAUGGCGACCGGCGCACGGGUGAGUAACACGUAUCCAACCUGCCGUCAACACUGGGAUAGCCUUUCGAAAGAAAGAUUAAUACCGGAUGGUAUAGUUUUCCCGCAUGGGAUGAUUAUUAAAGAAUUUCGGUUGUCGAUGGGGAUGCGUUCCAUUAGGCAGUUGGCGGGGUAACGGCCCACCAAACCUACGAUGGAUAGGGGUUCUGAGAGGAAGGUCCCCCACAUUGGAACUGAAACACGGUCCAAACUCCUACGGGAGGCAGCAGUGAGGAAUAUUGGUCAAUGGACGAGAGUCUGAACCAGCCAAGUAGCGUGAAGGAUGACUGCCCUAUGGGUUGUAAACUUCUUUUAUACGGGAAUAAAGUGAGCCACGUGUGGCUUUUUGUAUGUACCGUAUGAAUAAGGAUCGGCUAACUCCGUGCCAGCAGCCGCGGUAAUACGGAGGAUCCGAGCGUUAUCCGGAUUUAUUGGGUUUAAAGGGAGCGUAGGCGGGUUGUUAAGUCAGUUGUGAAAGUUUGCGGCUCAACCGUAAAAUUGCAGUUGAUACUGGCGACCUUGAGUGCAACAGAGGUAGGCGGAAUUCGUGGUGUAGCGGUGAAACGCUUAGAUAUCACGAAGAACUCCGAUUGCGAAGGCAGCUUACUGGAUUGUAACUGACGCUGAUGCUCGAAAGUGUGGGUAUCAAACAGGAUUAGAUACCCUGGUAGUCCACACAGUAAACGAUGAAUACUCGCUGUUGGCGAUAUACAGUCAGCGGCCAAGCGAAAGCAUUAAGUAUUCCACCUGGGG